rnacentral:rRNA from 1 species
UACGAAGGGUGCAAGCGUUAAUCGGAAUUACUGGGCGUAAAGCGUGCGUAGGCGGUUUGUUAAGUCUGCUGUGAAAUCCCCGGGCUCAACCUGGGAAUGGCAGUGGAUACUGGCAAGCUAGAGUGCGGUAGAGGGUAGUGGAAUUCCCGGUGUAGCAGUGAAAUGCGUAGAGAUCGGGAGGAACACCAGUGGCGAAGGCGGCUACCUGGACCAGCACUGACACUGAAGCACGAAAGCGUGGGGAGCAAACAGG